CUCCUACGGGAGGCAGCAGUGGGGAAUCUUGCACAAUGGGGGAAACCCUGAUGCAGCGACGCCGCGUGAGCGAUGAAGCCCUUCGGGGUGUAAAGCUCUUUCGGCAGGAACGAUAAUGACGGUACCUGAAGAAGAAGCUGCGGCUAACUACGUGCCAGCAGCCGCGGUAAUACGUAGGCAGCAAGCGUUGUUCGGAGUUACUGGGCGUAAAGAGUGCGUAGGCGGUCCUCUAAGUUUGGUGUGAAAUCUCCCGGCUCAACCGGGAGGGUGCGCCGAAAACUGGAGGGCUCGAGUGUGGGAGAGGUAAGCGGAAUUCCUGGUGUAGCGGUGAAAUGCGUAGAUAUCAGGAGGAACACCUGUGGUGUAGACGGCUUACUGGACCAUUACUGACGCUGAGGCACGAAAGCGUGGGUAGCAAACAGGAUUAGAUACCCUGGUAGUCCACGCCCUAAACGAUGCAUACUUGGUGUGAGCCAUUCAUUUGGUUCGUGCCGGAGUUAACGCGUUAAGU
rnacentral:rRNA from 1 species